rnacentral:rRNA from 1 species
AUGUUCACCAUGUAUCGGCGUGACAACCAAGACGCCGACUUCAAACACCUCCACGUCUACAAGCGCAUUGACAAGUGCGAGAAGUGGGCGGAAAUCCGACGUGCCCUCGACAAGGCCAAGGAGACCUACAAGCCGGACGCGACGACUCCGGGCGCGUCAGAGGGGCGGCCGGACAGCCACAAAUUGGCAAAGAAGGGGAAAAACACCGAUGCGACAACCGCGCGAGUGCAGGAGUCCAUCGAGCAUUGCCUCGCCGACGCCCAGGCCCGGGCCGUCCUACGUGAAAAGAAGACCGAGGCGCGGUGGUCGUCGCUGAUGAAGAACAGCGCCAUCAAGCUCGACCUGCUCCGGACGAACGUCGCCGCGAAGAAGAGGAACACCGACAUGGCUUUUUUGAUGGGCGAGGCGGACAUGCUCCAGAGCAACGACGAGCAGCUCAAGGCGUGGUACAUGGUGGAGCGCGGCCUCAUCCUGAACCAGAUGCAGAUGGCAACGCCGACGACGCAAGCUCCCGCGCCCACGACCACACGGACGCCAAGCCCGAACGACGCCUCUACAUCGCCGCCCAGCAGUGCCGAAGCCGCGUCGACACAGCCCAGCACCGAAGUAGCUCCGACACCGCCGAGCCCGCGCACGCCGACUCCGCCAACGCCUGGAGCCGAUCUCGCCGAGUGA